UCAUGGAGGCGGCGCUCGCCGGGCUCCCCGUCGACAUCAAAGCGGUUCCCGACGCCCCUCCCUGUGCCGAGGAUUUCGUCCUGCUGCGGCGCGGCGCCGGGGGGCCGAGGGGGGAGGAGCCCAGCGGGCGCCAUGUUGAGCUGAUGGAGCGGCUGCGGCUGCAGCACGANAUGUGCGUCAAGUUUUCCAGGCAGUUCGUCCAGAUGGGGAACAUCGCCGAGACGGCAAAGUGAGCGGCGCCGUGGGGCCGUGUGGGGCCGUGUGGGGUGCUGUGGGGCGCUGUGGGGUGGUGUGGGGUGCUGUGGGGUGGUGUGGGGUGCUGUGGGGCGAUGCUGUGGGGCCGUGUGGGGCCGUGUGGGGUGCUGUGGGGCGAUAUGGGGUGGUGUGGGUGGUGAUAUGGGGUGAUAUGGGGCGAUAUGGAGUGAUAUGGGGCGAUGUGGGUGGCGAUAUGGGGCGAUGUGGGGCGAUAUGGGGCGAUGUGGGUGCCGAUGUGGGGCGAUAUGGGGCGAUACGGGUGCUGACGUGUGGCGAUAUGGGGUGAUAUGGGGUGAUGUGGGUGCCGAUGUGGGUGCUGACGUGGGGCGACGUGUGGCGAUAUGGGGUGAUAGGGGGCGAUAUGGGUGAUAUGGGUGAUAUGGGGCAAUGUGGGUGACAAUGUGGGGUGAUAUGGGGCAAUAUGGGGCGAUGUGGGUGCCGAUGUGGGGCGAUAUGGGGCGAUAUGGGCGAUAUGGGGUGAUAUGAGGUGAUGUGGGUGCCGAUAUGGGUGGUGAUGUGUGUGCCGAUGUGGGGCGAUACGGGGCGAUACGGGGCGAUGUGGGGCGAUGUGGGGCGAUCGGGGGCGCGUCGGGGAGGGAA
rnacentral:lncRNA from 1 species